rnacentral:lncRNA from 1 species
UCAUCAUUACAAGAAGCAGACACAGAAGGCAAUGGAACAACCUUUUUAUCAGACAAAAUGUCAUCAUUACAAGAAGCAGACACAGAACAAACAGAAGUAGAGGAAAAACUAAUAGAGGAAGAAGGGGAAGGAGGAACCCAAGCCAGUUUAUAUAAGCCAGCAGCUUCUUUACCAAGAUCCAGAGGCCUCCUCAGAGAAGGGUCCUG